rnacentral:pre_miRNA from 1 species
UGAUGAUGGUGAUGAUGAUGAUGAUGAUGGUGAUGAUGGUGAUGAUGAGCGUGAAGUUAAACAUCAUAGCAUCACUGCUAAAUUUGUUCGCGCGCACACACACACACACACACACGUAACUGCCAUAAUCUAUCACCAUCAUCAUCAUCAUUAUCAUCAUCGUCAUCA